rnacentral:rRNA from 1 species
GACGAACGCUGGCGGCGUGCCUAACACAUGCAAGUCGAGCGGGAACCUCAGGAGGGGUAACCCUCUUGAGGGGAGAGCGGCGAACGGGUGAGUAACACGUGGGCAACCUGCCCCGGACACCGGGAUAACCCAGGGAAACCUGAGCUAAUACCGGAUACUCCGGCGUGAUCGCAUGGUCGCGCCGGGCAGGCCCCGACGGUCCGGGAUGGGCCCGCGGCCUAUCAGCUUGUUGGUGGGGUAACGGCCCACCAAGGCGACGACGGGUAGCUGGUCUGAGAGGACGGCCAGCCACACUGGGACUGAGACACGGCCCAGACUCCUACGGGAGGCAGCAGUGGGGGAUCUUGCGCUAAUGCGCGAAAGCGUGACGCAGCGACGCCGCGUGGGGAUGAAGGCCCUCGGGUUGUAAACCCCUUUCGGCAGGGACGAAGCGAAAGUGACGGUACCUGCAGAAGAAGUCCCGGCUAACUACGUGCCAGCAGCCGCUGUAACAC